rnacentral:rRNA from 1 species
ACAUACAAGUAGUAGGAAGGAAACUGGACGACCCUUCCGGGAGGCUUGUACAGGUGCUGCAUGGCUGUCGUCAGCUCGUGUCGUGAGAUGUUCGGUUAAGUCCGCUAACGAGCGCAACCCUCGCUGUGUGUUACAAGUGUCACACGGAACUGCCGGUCAUAAACCGGAGGAAGGUGGGAUGACGUCAAGUCAGCAUGGCCUUUAUAUCCUGGGCUACACACACGCUACAAUGGGAAGGGACAAUAGGUUGCGAAGCCGCGAGGCGGAGCCAAUCCAGCAAAACUUCCCUCAGUUCAGAUUGCAGGCUGCAACUCGCCUGCAUGAAGUUGGAGUUGCUAGUAAACGCAGGUCAGCCAUACUGCGUUGAAUACGUUCCCGGGGCUU